CCUUCGAUAGCUCAGUUGGUAGAGCGGUGGACUGUAGUUGUAAAUAAUUGGUAUCCAUAGGUCGCUGGUUCAAAUCCGGCUCGAAGGA
rfam:Operophtera brumata OBRT01_Sc04992, whole genome shotgun sequence.